rnacentral:snoRNA from 1 species
UGCCUCUUAGUGUCACACCUGGAGAGUUUCCAGUACUCUACCAGUCUCGGCCACGGGAAGAAGAGUCAAGCAGAGGCAUACCCAUUCCAUUUCUAGCUUGGGCAGUGGCUAGCAAGUGGAAGACAAUCUGCUACAAGU